CCCCACUCAGGGUCACACCUGGAGAGUUUCCAGUACUUUACCAGUCUUGACUACAGGAGGGAGAGUCAAGCAGAGGAAUAUCCAUUUCAUUCCUAGCUUGAGCAGUGGCUAGCAAGUGGAAGGCAAUCUGCUACAAGU